ensembl:lncRNA
CACAUCCAUUUCUCACCUUGUUUGGCUUUAAGGUUUUCAUAGAUGCUAAUCAUAAAUUAUCUUAACAAUACAUUUAAUAAUCCAUCAGGUACUUACAGAUAUUUUCACUUGUGGUUGUUGUGCUGUUAACAAAUACUGAAAGCAAUUUUUAAGAAAACUGCAAUGCUGUAAUAUUUAAAUUAAUAUUUCUUAGGGGUGGGGAUGGUUUUAUGAGAAAUGUGUAUAUAUUCGUACUUUUUUGUGUGCACAUAAAACAAAGAUGCAGGAUUUUCACAAAUUACCAUAUCAAUCUUUCAACAAUAAUUUUUUUAUAGUGUCAUGUCAAAAAGUUUAUUAUUUUUGCUGUUUAUUCAAAGAUAAUUUACAGGUGAACUGAGAUUAUAAGGCCCCUGUGGGUUUAAUUUCCACCUAUGUUGUUCUGACCUGACUUCUAACCCUCGUUUUGUUUGUUUAACUGCUGAAAUCAAACAUAUGAGGGGAAACCUCAGACUUCCUGCAGCAAGUGAACAUUUCCUCAGUAAACGGUGGGCAGAUUGGUUGACAAGCUGUGGUUUGUAGAGGACGACUGGGGGGAUCCGAGGAGAAGAAUGUCCCCUCUGUCCAGGCAGACGGUGUGACGUGGCUUCAUGGGAGUCAGCCUGUCGGAUGGUUGGCCCGUCCAUUAAUUUGCACCAGCCUGAACUACUGGAUGCAGCUCAAGAUGUUGGAGCUCCUCCCUGCUGGCCGGCCACAGCCUCCCACAGCUUGCACUCAGCCAGCAACCACAGCUGCUACCAAUAUGAGAACUCUGAGAAGAAAGUUUUAGGCGACACAGAGGAGAGGAAGACCCAGUCUGAAGUUUGCACUUAGGAUCAGACUGGGCUUAAAGGCAAGAGCAGGUGAAAAAAAAGAGCCAGCUGAGUUAGGGUCACUCCUACUUUACUAACCCAUCAUAGUUGAUGUUCUUUAAACUU